GACGAACGCUGGCGGCGUGCCUAAUACAUGCAAGUCGAACGAAGCUGUUUUAACUGGUGCUUGCACCGACUUAAACAACUGAGUGGCGAACGGGUGAGUAACACGUGGGUAACCUGCCCCAAAGCGGGGGAUAACAUUUGGAAACAGAUGCUAAUACCGCAUAACCACAGAAACCACAUGGUUUCUGUGUCAAAGAUGGUUUCGGCUGCCACUUUGGGAUGGACCCGCGGCGUAUUAGCUAGUUGGUAAGGUAAUGGCUUACCAAGGCGAUGAUACGUAGGCGAACUGAGAGGUUGAUCGGCCACAUGGGGACUGAGACACGGCCCAAACUCCUACGGGAGGCAGCAGUAGGGAAUCUUCCACAAUGGACGAAAGUCUGAUGGAGCAACGCCGCGUGAGUGAAGAAGGUUUUCGGAUCGUAAAACUCUGUUGUCAGAGAAGAACGUGUGCGAGAGUAACUGCUCGUGCAGUGACGGUAUCUGGCCAGAAAGCCACGGCUAACUACGUGCCAGCCGCCGCCGUAA
rnacentral:rRNA from 1 species